UACGAAGGGGGCUAGCGUUGCUCGGAAUCACUGGGCGUAAAGGGUGCGUAGGCGGGUCUUUAAGUCAGGGGUGAAAUCCUGGAGCUCAACUCCAGAACUGCCUCGAUACUUGGCGAUCUCGAGUUCGGGAGAGGUGAGUGGAACUGCGAGUGUAGAGGUGAAAUUCGUAGAUAUUCGCAAGAACACCAGUGGCGAAGGCGGCUCACUGGCCCGAUACUGACGCUGAGGUGCGAAAGCGUGGGGAGCGAACAGG
rnacentral:rRNA from 1 species